AGCCAAAUAAUAUGAUUGAAAGAUGGACGAGGAAUGGACGACCAAGAAGAAAAAAUGGAGAACAAGACAUACAGAAGUCUCAAAUUGUUUACAUUGGAUAUCAUACAGAAUUGAAUGAAUCCUUGUUCCGAGCUUAUCUAUCCUACCUUGUAUGAUAGAUAUUACAGUUUUAAAUCCAGGGCAACAUUGGCAAAAUCAAAGAUCAAGACAAAGAAAAGAAAAAAGAUUAAAUGCAUUUUUUAUGUCCUCAGAUGGUAUACUUUCUAG
rnacentral:lncRNA from 1 species